rnacentral:rRNA from 1 species
GACGUAGGGCGCGAGCGUUGUCCGGAUUUACUGGGCGUAAAGGGCGCGUAGGCGGCACCGCAAGUCGACUGUGAAAUCUCCGGGCUUAACCCGGAAAGGUCAGCCGAUACUGCGGGGCUAGAGUGCAGAAGGGGCAACUGGAAUUCUCGGUGUAGCGGUGAAAUGCGUAGAUAUCGAGAGGAACACCUGCGGCGAAGGCGGGUUGCUGGGCUGACACUGACGCUGAUGCGCGAAAGCUAGGGGAGCGAACGGG